GAGGAGAGAUUUCGGUCUUGGCUUUGCCAUGUACUGAGACGCUCGAAUCUUUUUUCUGGGGAAACAGGGUGUUCUUCACUGAAUGCUCUGGGGAACCAGGACGAUUACCUUGAGAAAAAUAGAGUGUUCAAAGCAGGCUUUUGCUUGAAUACGUUAGCAUGGAAUAAUAAAAUAGGACUUUGGUUCUAUUUUGUUGGUUUUAAGGACCAAUGUC
rnacentral:rRNA from 1 species